GGAGUCCUCCUCUAAAAGCACUCUGUGUGGGGAACAUGAGAGCCAGACCAAAGCUCAGAGGAACCCACCUGGACCUCCACCCAGCUCUGUGUCCUUACAGAGCAACUGGUCUAAAGAUGGUGAUCCUGACUUUAAAUCAGGCGUGUGUCGUCCUGGAGAGAGAGGUCAGAGGUCACAGUCUGCAGGGUCCAGCUGUCCGUCUUUGAGGAGUGACCGGUCC